AAAAAGACACAUGCAAACCGUUAGUUGAAAACCGUCAGUUUGUGGAAACUCUGGACACAAUGUUAGAAAAUGUCCACAGUCAGUUGAAAACCGUCGGCUUGAAGAAUCAUCACCACUGGUGGCUGGACAAGACCCUACGACAACAUCGGUACAACAUAGGCCACGACGGAUGUCUACGCGAAUUCAAAAAGCUCCAGCAAAGAAUGCCGCCAGAUCAAGCACCACUGUUCCAGUUAGUCAACCUGAGGUAAUUCCCAUACAAGA